GCCUCAACAUCCCGCAUCAGGCUGCUCUGGACUGUCCCAACAAUGUAAACAAGGUGUUUAACGAAAAGCGUCUUAACUCGAAUGUACGCUGUCUUUCAGGGUUAAAAUCGUUUUAAUCAUCCCGACGGCGUCCUGACCCGCACGAGUGGACCCCCUGGUGGAUCGUCCGACUAGGAUAAGAGGAGCCCCAGCUCUCGCUGGCAUCCCCUAAAGGACGCACAUCAAAGGAAAAGCAGGAUGCUAAUAUUUGCCUGGCGAAUUUUGUUCAAGCCCUGGGUCCCAGCGGGCCAAAGAGGGAUCAGUUGAAUCUAGAGAAUCUCUGUUCUUCAAACACAGGACUGGAUCCCACCUGCGGAAGGAUACGGAACUCACUGGUGAACGACAGGACAAGAAUGACAAUGUGUGUAAUUCCUGAGGUUAACUUGAUUUUGGAAGGGGUCUUUCUUUUGUGUUUUUGUUGUGUAAAAGUUGAGUAACAUAAGCACCUGUGAGAUCAUAAUUCUGAUGAAGUCAGGAAAAUUGUGACCAGGGCUUAGGUUGUUUAUAAUAUUCAUGACACCAUAUUCUAAUCAGAUAGAAACAUUGAGUGAAAUUCUGAGGUUUAGAUAUUAGUGAGGCCAUAUUUUGUUAAGACAGGAAAGCUGUAAACUAAUUUUUAAGUAGACAAAUACUUAAAGAACUUAUUCUUCUUUAUUUGUGAUCGUGGGGAUGAUAAAGAUCACUGCCUGAUGAGUUCUCUUAGCUUCACAGUGAACAGUGUAUUAAGGAGCAAAAAGGGUUAGAAAGUUUAAAAAGCAACCUGGGAAAGGUCUCAAAAAGGUGUAAGUGACGUUGUGACCUGCUUAUCUGCUGAUUGUGUCUCCUUUGGUACUAGCCUAUGGUAAGUCAUGGACUCGUGCAGGAUGUACCAGUGCAAGAAUGUAUUUAUGGGGUCUGUCAUGCUGUGGCAGUAACAGGUAACAGCUGGAACACUUGCUGUGAUUAGUUUUGCUGUAACCACAAGCACAGUGCCUCUUCACUGACUCUCUAAGCUACCAAGGAGAUUUGAAUAGGAUCUUAUAGGGAUGAGGAAAAUAGACACAUCACUUUGGCCUAAAGGUUGAAAUAGUGAUCUGUCCUUAGUGCCUAGCGCUGAUUAAUUAAAUUAUACUUUGGAGAUGUUUUAUUGAUGGUUUUACUCAAGCUGUUGUAUUCAUAUUAACAAAAGCUUUGUAGUAACGCAAGAUUUGCAGUCGUUUUUUGAGACAAAACUUGUUCUUGGUAUUGUUCUUAAUUAUGAGUGGUAUGUAUUAGUGUACAUGUUAGAAAGAGCCAGUGAAGGCACUCUAGAUUAAGUCUAAAACUAGACUAUGAAUUUCCAGUGCUGUUUCACAGAUGGUACUUUGGUUUAGACAAGCCUACUCUAAAGCAAUAUGCUUACCAGCCUAUAGUAGCACAACAUCAUGAAUUACGUUUGUGGGGCAUUGUUUGUCCUUGUUGAAGUGAUUUUAUGUGGGUGCUAUAAAGAAACUGUAAGUUAAGGCUAUGUU
ensembl:lncRNA